UACGUUUUAUAAAUAAUGGAA
rnacentral:piRNA from 1 species